rnacentral:misc_RNA from 1 species
ACAAAUUCCCAUGUGCAGUGAUGCAUGUGCCCUCGUGGACACAGCCUUGCUCCAGCACCUUCUCCAGAGAGGACCCCAGCCCUCCAAGUCUAAAUUCCUCACUAUGAAAACAAUCGCAGUGGUGGUCCCCAGCACACUGGGUUGGGAAGGAUGAAGGAGUCGGCACCACAGGGCACCAAGCACUGACCAGGAGUUCAGUGAGUGCUCGGAGACCAGUGGAUGCGAAGCAAGGAACAGGACGAGGUUCAAGGCCUGGCCCACGACGAUGGCCUCUAGACCACUGAAAACAGUAUCAAGCCUCGAAAAUAACCUGCAAUUCAGAAGCUGAUGAGACCCCGGCUCAGAGAGGUUGCUGCUGUCUGAGGUCACACAGCAAGGAGGUGACUGAACAGGACCUGGGGAGCUGGCUUUUCUGCCACCCCUCCCUCCCAGCCCUGACCCAUGAGUUCCUGAAGAACAGAGCUCAUAACUGCCUGCCUUUGUUCAGCAUCACCGAGACCACAAAGGCCCAGGGCUCAGCCUGGAUGAUGGAAAAGUGUGACCUCCAUGGAGGAAAGAUUCCUGGACUGCAUGC